rnacentral:rRNA from 1 species
CACGUAGGGGGCAAGCGUUGUCCGGAUUUAUUGGGCGUAAAGAGCUCGUAGGCGGUUGGGUAAGUCGGGUGUGAAAACUCCAGGCUCAACUUGGAGACGCCACCCGAUACUGCUCUGACUUGAGUUCGGUAGGGGAGUGGGGAAUUCCUGGUGUAGCGGUGAAAUGCGCAGAUAUCAGGAAGAACACCCGUGGCGAAGGCGGCUCUCUGGGACGGUACUGACGCUGGGACGCGAAAGCGUGGGGAGCGAACAGG